UUCCUUAUCCAACGCUCAUAACUCACACCAUGCACCCCUCGCGCAAAAGGUCUGCCUUUGCCUGUCUGUUAUCCCCUUCCCCUUCCUGUCCCCCACAUUGCUUUCAAGAACCACUCUUCACUGGGGCUUAGAGGAGAUGCUGCCAACCCACCCACAGUGCCAGGAGCCUGCCUGCCCGUCUCCAUCUUCCCUCCUCAACACCUCUGGGUUAUAGAUGCUGCCGGAUGCCCAGCGUUUGUGCGAAUGCUGUGGGUCCAACAAUCAGUACAAAAUUGUACUGUUUAGUACAGUAAUUGUCUGUUAUCAUUGGUUAAAAUGAUCACCAAAUGAGUGUUUUGAAGACGUGGCUGAGGACACAGUGAUGUGUACACACAGUGGAGCAGAAUCUUACAAGACUGGAAUAAAGACCAGCAUAGAAAGAAUACAGAAACCCCACUCUGGAUCCCAGACAGACUUAUCUGACCCUUCCACCAAAAGGCCUCUAUCAAGAACCCAGAGAAGAAAGAAUCAGAAGAAGGCGAGAGAAGUACUACGGAACAUGAAGAAUGUUCUCCCUUCUCCACAGGCUUCUUCGGCUACACACACACACACACACUCUCUCUCUCUCUCUCUCUCUCUCUCUCUCUCUCUCUCUCUUCUCUCUCGCGCGAGCGCUGAGAAGCUCGCCCAGAGAGCACAACAGCUGGUCUCUGAAACCCGGAACCCACCAUCACAUCACGGCAGAGAACAUGUUUCUUGCUGUGCUUGCUGUGCAGGUAUACUGUGCCUCCGUGCCCUCGUUUUGGGCCUAUGUUCUCCGUACUCCAUAUCUUCAUCCCGUGGGUGGAGAGAUGAUGUACAGAUCAGAGUCAUGACAAAUAACUCUAGUCUAGAGCUACUAGAGGGACAUGCUGAUUUUCCUCCCAUUUGACUUCCUCUGUAAUUAAAUAUGAGGAGAUGUCAGACUCUGCCCCAAUUUGUUACUUUGAAGAGAAUGCCCCCCAUGGGUUGCCUUCCCACUAGUUAUAGAACUUUUCUUUUUGAUACUCCAGAUAGAUCAGUUUCAGAUAGGCGGCCCCCACACCUUAGUAGGUUAAUGGGGGAGCUUUUAAUACUGGUUUGGGGGUACUAUAAUUAUAAUGAAACUUUUGAAAGGCCAAAAAAAAAAAACUAUGCCUCUUAAAAAAUGUCUACAAAAAUAUUGAGAUAGUGAUCAAUUGUGGGUAUCCUUAUUUCAAGAUAAAAGUCCAAGAUGGCUUAAAUGUGGCUUUAGUUAUUGGGCUUCAAUAUAUGAUCCAUAAAACACUCAGGAAAAGUUUAUGACUAUUCUAUAGCUACAUCAUUUCAAAAUUUUAGAAGAUAUUUGACCAAUAAGAAACUGAUAUAUAAUAGAUAUAGACCUGAUACAUUUAUAAAUGAGCCUAUUAUUAGAUGUCUCACUCCAAGAUGGGUGAAACCUAUUUAUGUUAGUCAUUCUUCUUUAUUUCUAAUGUUUUUUCAAAAGUAUUUAGACUUUUUGCUACAACUAAGAUGGUUCUUCUAAAAAAGCCUAAAAAAAAAUCUAAGAGCACUCCUUUGACAAUUAGAUCAUGCCUAGUUUAUCCUUACAGUAUACUCACUAGAUAGUCCUCAGAUUUAAAAAUUACUAAGUUAAAUGAUUUUAUCAAGUCAACUGUUCCAAAUGUAUUUUAACUAAUUGUGUUGAUCCUAUCUCAAUUAAAAAUCAUUCAGUUACUUUGCUUUUACAAAGACCUUCUUAUGUUAUGUUUCCUGUAGAUUUAAAAGAUGAUGUUUAUUUUGAUAAUGUAGGUCUGCAAACGCUUAAAAAAGUCAAUGAACUAAUUAGACCAAAGUGUUUUGCUUCAGCUUUAGUUUUAGACAUUAGCGCUUUAGUUAUAGACAAUAGCCAUCCUUUCCUCACUUACAGUCUCAACAGUUACAAUAGUUUCAGAUAUAAAUACUACACAUUUUGUUGAUAAUUUAAAUUAAAAAAGUUUCUUUAAUACUUACAAGACAACAAAUCAUAGGUAAAAAGUUAGAAGUAAAGCUGAUGCUUUAGAGGAUGUAGUUUUGACAUUAAGACAAGAGGUAGAAAGCCAGGUAUGGUGGUGCACGCCUGUAAUCCCAGCACUUAGGAGGCAGAGGCAGGCAGAUUUCUGAGUUCAAGGCCAGCCUGUUCUACAGAGUGAGUUCCAGGACAGCCAGGGCUACACAGAGAAAUCCUGUCUCGAGAAAAACAAAACCAAAAGACAAGAGGUAGAAAAUAUGAAAGUUCAGCUUUCUACCAAGUGCCAUGCCAGCUUUCGGUAUACCAUUACCUUACCUUAUAAUAAAAGUCACAAUUAGAAUAUUACUAAAAAACAUUUGUUGGGAAUUUAGAAAGACAAUGAUCUCACUUAUGAUAUGGCUCAAUUUCAAGCCCAAAUCUCCACUAUGAACAAAACACAUGUUAAAUCUGCUGGCAUAAGAAUUUGGCUCAGUCUAUUAGCCUUGGUUUACAGUCUUUAAACCCUGUUAGUUGGUUACAUUAGAUCAUUGUUCUCGCCGUGGCAACAGGAAUAAUUCUUCUUCUUCUCCUUAUUUUUCCAGUCAUCUUCCGACUAAUCUUUUUCUCCAUCUCUACAGCCAAAAGAAAAAUUUAUGAGCUUCAAUUAAAAAAUAAAAGAGAGAAAUGCCACACUGACCCCAAUAGAGUCUGUGUGACAACUUCCCCAGACUGAGACAUUAGACUUCAAAAGAAGGAGGUCUCCUGGAACUAGUUGUGGAACUCGAGGCCAAAAAAGAGAUAUUAAGCCAUAGUUCUCAUGAUAAUUUUUCUGUUUUGUUCUCUAUCAUUCCUUUUCUUCAUUACAGGUUCCUGAUAGCCUAGACAAUGAUCUUAAACAAAAAUAAUAGGUACGAGACCACCCCUUGAGACGGAUCACUAACACGACCUUAUCUCCAGGAAAACCAACACUUUACUUUUCAAAUCGCUUACAAAAUUAUUAUGAUAGAUAAAAACUUUCCCAACAACAAAAUUUUAUAUAGCUACAUGUGUAUGAUC